GGGGGUGUUUAAAAUCGAUGGAAAAGUUCUUUAAAAAUUAGCUGGUUGUCCGGCAAGACACAAAUCUACCAAAAACAAUAAAUGCUAAAUUUAUUGAACAGGUAAAAGAAAAAGUCGUUGCUUUUGCAAAAACUUUUACUUUGACUCCUGCUUUCGUUACAGCUUAAAAUCCUGUAGCCAUCCAACUAUUGAUGCCUAAUAAAUAGAUCUGGGUGUUAUUUUUAGGAUAGAUAAAUUUUUUCGUCUUAAAUUAAUUUAUCAAAAUUUACUAAGACUAGAAAUAAAUAUGUUUGUUUAUUUUUUUUAUUUAUUUCAAAAUUUAAAAUAAACUAUACCAGUAGAAGAUUUUUAAAUAUUUUUUCAGACAGGGGUGAAAAUCCCCUCACCUCCACCA
rnacentral:tmRNA from 1 species